AGUGGCAGUUGGAGCUUUUCAGGUGGGGAGGAAUAUGUUCCAAAAUCUGUCUUCAUUAAAAUGCCAUUUCCUGAAAGACAUCAUAGAAAUGGAUGCAUGAACAUUCCUGAAAUAUAUUGCACAUGUUUAUGAUCACUGUAGCAGAAAUUGGAAGAUAAGAUUCUGAAAUUCCAGUAGUCUAGUGAAGAAAAUUAGUGAGCUAUUGCAAUUUGGAGAGAAUGACAAGAAACACUGAAGCUGCAGUUUGAUCAUCCUUGCUUUGCAAAAAGUCAAGAUUCAACAAUUCCUGCUGCUGUUUUAAAAUUUCAUCCAUCAGUCUUGAAUUGUUUCUUUUGAAAAUACCUUGGAAAAAGAGAAGAAAGAACAUGUGCUGGUAUCAGGAAGACCCAAAAGCAGCUCAAUAAUCUAUCCACAAAGUACAAUUCAAAAGCAAUGUUGCUAUGUUUCUUGGGAUGUCAUUCUAUAGUUAGUUUAAAAAUUUUCUUAUAUAUAGGCAAAGACUACCUGUCCCAUAAAAUCUCUUUUCAGUUUACCAUGAAAGUAUUUGUAUUAAAAGGGUAAACAAAAUCUGGCAGAAUUUUGCUUACAUGAUUAGUAUACAUUCUUUUACAAUGUGGAAUUAAAGAGAGAUUCUAGAGUGCAGCUUUGAAGUUAAAAGUGUGUUCAUUAUUAAACAGAAAACACAAAUGUUUCUUAGUUAUGUUUAGUGGUUUGAUUUUUAUGUAUGUAAUUAUGCAUGUAAUUAUUCCUUAACAAAUUGAACAAUUUUGAAAUAGACCUAUUUGGUUUUGAUUGACUCA